CACGUAGGGUGCGAGCGUUGUCCGGAAUUAUUGGGCGUAAAGAGCUCGUAGGCGGUGUGUCGCGUCGGCCGUGAAAAACCUGCAGCUUAACUGUGGGCUUGCGGUCGAUACGGGGCAUCACUGGAGUUCGGCAGGGGGAGACUGGAAUUCCUGGUGUAGCGGUGAAAUGCGCAGAUAAUCAGGAGGAACACCGGUGGCGAAGGCGGGUCUCUGGGCCGAUGACUGACGCUGGAGGAGCGAAAGCGUGGGAGGCGAACAGGA
rnacentral:rRNA from 1 species